UACGUAGGGUGCGAGCGUUGUCCGGAAUUAUUGGGCGUAAAGAGCUUGUAGGCGGUUUGUCGCGUCUGCUGUGAAAAUCCGGGGCUCAACCCCGGACUUGCAGUGGGUACGGGCAGACUGGAGUGUGGUAGGGGAGACUGGAAUUCCUGGUGUAGCGGUGGAAUGCGCAGAUAUCAGGAGGAACACCGAUGGCGAAGGCAGGUCUCUGGGCCACUACUGACGCUGGAGGAGCGAAAGCAUGGGGAGCGAACAGG
rnacentral:rRNA from 1 species